rnacentral:rRNA from 1 species
UACGGAGGGUGCAAGCGUUAUCCGGAUUCACUGGGUUUAAAGGGUGCGUAGGUGGGUUGGUAAGUCAGCGGUGAAAUCUCCAGGCUUAACUUGGAAACUGCCAUUGAUACUAUCAAUCUUGAAUACCGUGGAGGUCAGCGGAAUAUGUCAUGUAGCGGUGAAAUGCUUAGAUAUGACAUAGAACACCAAUUGCGAAGGCAGCUGGCUACACGAAUAUUGACACUGAUGCACGAAAGCGUGGGGAUCAAACAGG